AGAGUUUGAUCCUGGCUCAGAACGAACGCUGGCGGCAGGCCUAACACAUGCAAGUCGAACGAACCUUCGGGUGAGUGGCGCACGGGUGCGUAACGCGUGGGAAUAUACCCUUGAGUAAGGAAUAACGUAGAGAAAUUUGCGCUAAUACCUUAUAAUGACUUCGGUCCAAAGAUUUAUCGCUCAAGGAUUAGCCCGCGUCAGAUUAGAUAGUUGGUGAGGUAAUGGCUCACCAAGUCGACGAUCUGUAGGGGGUCUGAGAGGAUGAUCCCCCACACUGGUACUGAGACACGGACCAGACUCCUACGGGAGGCAGCAGUGAGGAAUAUUGGACAAUGGGCGAAAGCCUGAUCCAGCCAUGCCGCGUGUAUGAAGAAGGCCUUAGGGUUGUAAAGUACUUUCAAUUGUGAAGAUGAUGACGGUAGCAAUAGAAGAAGCUCCGGCUAAAUUCGUGCCAGCAGCCGCGGUAAUACGAAUGGAGCAAGCGUUGUUCGGAAUCACUGGGCUUAAAGCGUAUGUAGGCGGAAAUGCAAGUCAGGAGUGAAAUCCCGGGGCUCAACCCCGGAACUGCUCUUGAAACUGCAUUUCUAGAAUCCUGGAGAG
rnacentral:rRNA from 1 species